GGCUCUGUGGCGCAAUGGAUAGCGCAUUGGACUUCUAAUUUAAAGGUUGUGGGUUCGAGUCCCACCAGAGUUG
rnacentral:tRNA from 1 species